rnacentral:rRNA from 1 species
UAGAGUUUGAUCAUGGCUCAGAGUGAACGCUGGCGGCGUGCUUAACACAUGCAAGUCGAACGAGAACGGAUUUUAGCUUGCUAAAAUUGUCAGCUAAGUGGCGCACGGGUGAGUAAUAUAUAGGUAACGUGCCCUAGAGAAGAGGAUAACAUUUGGAAACGAAUGCUAAUACUCUAUAUGCCUUUAAGACAUAAGUCUGCAAGGGAAAUAUUUAUAGCUCUAGGAUCGGCCUGUACGGUAUCAGUUAGUUGGUGAGGUAAUGGCUCACCAAGGCAAUGACACCUAACUGGUUUGAGAGGAUGAUCAGUCACACUGGAACUGAGACACGGUCCAGACUCCUACGGGAGGCAGCAGUGGGGAAUAUWGCACAAUGGACGAAAGUCUGAUGCAGCAACGCCGCGUGGAGGAUGACACAUUUCGGUAGCGUAAACUCCUUUUAUAUAUGAGGAUAAU